UGGUUCAAGGGUAGCACAAAUCGGAAAGGAUACCGGACAGGUAUGCAUGUUUGAUACUAUUAAGUGUAAUACUGAAAUGCUGAGCUGUAGAAAAUAUAUGAUAUGGAUUUAAUGUCUAAAACAGUUUUGUGAGCUCCAUGAAGCAGAGUACAUGGAGGUCCUCCUGCAUAUCUCGGUCCGUUGGCUAAGCCUUGAAUGUUGUGUGACCAGGAUCCUGAGGCUGUAUGAACCUCUGGCCAGCUACUACAAAUCUGCUAAUGAAAAUCAGGCCAGGUUCAAGAGACUUGUGCAGACAUUCACUGACCCCAUGACAGAAGUGUACCUGCUGUUCUUCCAAGCCACCGUACCAACUUUCACUUCUUUCAACUUGCUGCUUCAGAGAGCAGUCAUCAAUAUUUUUGUUACAUGAUGAGAUGGUGAAAUUCGUACGCAAGCUAUGUUCCAAGUUUAUGGUUCCAGCAGCUCUGCAGUGCCAUGAGGAGCCUUGUGAAAUUGCCUUUAAAGAAAAGGCAAACCAUUUACCAGGAAGAAAGUUGAACAUUGAGUUCACAACCAGGGCUAAAUUUAACAGAUUACUCGACGAGGGUGACAUCACACCACAGCAGGUGGAUUCAUUCCAUGAAGCUGUGUUGUGUUUCCUGACAAGUGCUGUGGAUUAUGCACUUAAGAAGCUGCCACUGGAAG